rnacentral:rRNA from 1 species
ACUCCUACGGGAGGCAGCAGUGGGGAAUAUUGGACAAUGGGGCAACCGUGCAUCCAGCCAUGCCGCGUGAGUGAUGAAGGCCUUAGGGUUGUAAAGCUCUUUCAGCGAGGAGGAUAAUGACGUUACUCGCAGAAGAAGCCCCGGCGUACAUUCGUGCCAGCAGCCGCGGUAAUACGAAGGGGCGUAGCGUUGUUCGGAAUCACUGGGCGUAAAGCGCACGUAGGCGGAUUGAUAAGUUAGGGGUNAAAUCCCGGGGCUCAACCUCGGAACGCCUUUGAUACUGUCAGUCUUGAGUCCGAGAGAGGUGAGUGGAACUCCGAGUGUAGAGGUGAAAUUCGUAGAUAUUCGGAAGAACACCAGUGGCGAAGGCGGCUCACUGGCUCGGUACUGACGCUGAGGUGC